AGUGAACGCUGGCGGUAGGCCUAACACAUGCAAGUCGAACGGCAGCACAGUAAGAGCUUGCUCUUACGGGUGGCGAGUGGCGGACGGGUGAGGAAUACAUCGGAAUCUACUUUUUCGUGGGGGAUAACGUAGGGAAACUUACGCUAAUACCGCAUACGACCUACGGGUGAAAGCAGGGGAUCUUCGGACCUUGCGCGAUUGAAUGAGCCGAUGUCGAAUUAGCUAGUUGGCGGGGUAAAGGCCCACCAAGGCGACGAUCCGUAGCUGGUCUGAGAGGAUGAUCAGCCACACUGGAACUGAGACACGGUCCAGACUCCUACGGGAGGCAGCAGUGGGGAAUAUUGGACAAUGGGCGCAAGCCUGAUCCAGCCAUACCGCGUGGGUGAAGAAGGCCUUCGGGUUGUAAAGCCCUUUUGUUGGGAAAGAAAAGCAGCAGGUUAAUACCCCGCUGUUCCGACGGUACCCAAAGAAUAAGCACCGGCUAACUUCGUG
rnacentral:rRNA from 1 species